AUGUCUUCAGGAAAUGCUAAAAUUGGGCACCCUGCCGCUGACUUCAAAGCCACAGCCAUUAUGUCAGACGGUCAGUUUAAAGACAUCAGCCUGUCUGACUACAAAGGAAAUAUAUUGUAUUCUUUUACCUGCUAGACUUCAGUAUGGUGUGCCCCACAGAGAUCAUUGCUUUCUGUGGUACAGAAGAAUUUAAGAAACUCAACUGCCAAGUGAUUGAUGCUUCUGUGGAUUCUCACUUCUGUCACCUGGCAUGGAUCAACACACCUAAGAAACAAGGAGGGCUGGACCCAUGAGCAUUCCUUUGGCAUCAGACCCGAAGCGCACCAUUGCUCAGGAUUAUGGGAUCUUAAAGGCUGAUAAAGGCAUCUCAUUCAGGCAUCUCUUUAUCGUUGAUGAUACAGGUAUUCUUCAGCAGGUCACUAUGUAGUGACCUCCCUGUUGACUGCUCUGUGGAUGAGACUUUGAGACUAGUUCAGGCCUUCCAGUUCACUGACAGACAAGGGGAAGUGUGCCCAGCUGGCUGGAAACCUGGCAGUGAUACUAUCAAGUCUGAUGUCCAAAAGAGCAAAAAAUAUUUCUCCAAGCAGAAGUGAGUGCUGGGCUGUUUUAGUGCCAGGCUGCAGUGGGAACCCCUGAGAACAAAAUCUCCUUUGUAUUUUUUUUUCCCAUGAGUAAAAUACAAGACUUCAGAUUCAGCCGAAUUGUGGUGUGUUACAAGGUAGGCCUUUCCUACAGGGAGUGGAGAGACCAGCCUUUCUUCCUUUGGAAGUGAUGGCCUGAAUUGUGUUGUGGGGAGGCCACUGAUUGUAUGAUGUGUCAGUAGAGAGCAUCAACCCAUUGAUCUUUUGUAGUUUGUUUUAAACUUGAACUGAGAAAAAAAUAAAAGAAUAUCAUAAUGUAUUUUCUUCUUUUAAUUUAUUUUAUCAGCUAUUUAAAUAACAAAAGUAAUACAUGCUGUUGUCAAAGCAAAUAAAAUCAAAACAGGUAUACUCGAAAAAUGGUAAAUGGACUGUACUCUUACUCCCUCCAAUCAGAUUUCUCCAGUAUACUCAGUGCUUGUAACUUGUUUUAAACUCUUCUGUCUUUAUUCCAACAAA